GGAAAGGAGCCAACCUGGCCUGGUGACCUUCUCUGUGCAAGCAGGGAGCAGGCACACACCACCAAUGAGUGAAGAAGGCUGCUGUGGCAUGCUCGGGACCUAGAGGGAACCUGCCUCAUUGACAGGGGACAGCAGCUGCACAGCUCCAGACAAUCGUUGUCAAGGACGGGAAUGAGAUUCUAACAUGGCUGAUCUGAUUUUUCAAGAAAGGUGAAAGACCCAAAUUCAUGGAAGAGAAGUGAGUCACACAGGGAGCCAGUGGCAGAGCCACACCCCACAGAGCAAUCAACAUGCUCUACUCUGCAGACCUGCAACAGGGAGGGAAGCCAGACUCUGAUGCAAGAAGGAAAGACCAUGUGCUGGCUCAGUGUGUGCAGCCUGGACUGAGCUACUGAACUCUAAAUCCAAGGAUGACUAAUGUAAGCCUAAAGGGUAAUCUGCAAAUACUGCUCCAUUAAUAUUCAAUGAUAAAUGAUAUUGCUUUAGAAUCAAAUUCACAUAAACAGAAGCUUCAGCUGUAUGUCCGCACCCUGGGAACAUUAAAUUGUAAGCCACGUCUUGUACUUCCAUGAAUCAUCCAUACCAUCUACCCCAAGGCUCCGGACAUGGAAGCUACUGUGUAAACACUUAUUGACUGAAUGGGGCCACUCGAAAAAAUUGCUGAAGGGAGUUACAAUUAAGAGAAUGGCAAUGGGUGCAUUUCUAAAUGUAAUCUUUCAAAGCUUCAGACAGGUGGUCGGGUACAAAUGAAAUUUAUUUGUACGUUAAUUCUUCACAUAUUUACUGAAAACUACCCACAUCCUUCCAAAUGCUAAGAUGAUUUUGUGGGUUAAUUCUGUUUUUAAAAAAUAUAUAAAGAAACAGAUUAUUUCUCUACUGUCAAAUUUUCCAGGACAUGGAGAAAGAAAAAUGCAUGUACAUUCUCUCUCUUUUUUUUUUUUUUUUUUUUUGAGUCGGAGUCUCACUGCUGCUCAGGCUGGAGUGCAGUGGUGCCAUCUUGGCUCACUGCAAGCUCUGCCUCCCGGGUUCAUGCCAUUCUCCUGCCUCAGCCUCCCAAGUAACUGGGACUACAGGUGCCCACCACCACAUCUGGCUAAUUUUUUGUAUUUUUAGUAGAGAUGGGGUUUCACCUUGUUAGCCAGGAUGGUCUUGAUCUCCUGACCUCAUGAUCUGCCUGCACAUUCUUUUUAAAAAAAUGCUCGUACAUUCUUUUUACAGAGGCAGAAUGACAUUAAUACCAGACCUGAUGAAGACAGCACAAAAAGUAAAUCUCAACACAACCUCACAAUAUUAAUAAAGCAAAAAUUUUAAAUACAGUAAUGUAUUAGCAAACAGAACUCCAUGGUACACCAUGACCAAAUGAGGACAUGUAAGAAUGGCUUAAUAUCUGAAAAUAUAUUAGUAUAAUUUAUCAUAAUGCCAAGUCAAAGAAGACAAACCAUAUCACCAUGUCCGUAAAUGCAGAAAGGGUAUUUGGGGGGGAAAAAAACAUCAAAAUGUAAAUGCUAAAACACUAGAAAUAGCAAAUCUGAAAGUACUGACCACUGCAAUUAGACAGGAAAAUGACAUCAGGAGUCUAAAAAUUGCAAACAGGAAAUAACAUAAGAAAACUAAAUAUCAGAAAAAGAGGAGCAAUAUUAGAAUUACAGGCAGAUGGAACAAUUGUAUAUUCCUUAUAAACAUAAAGAAUCAAAAUUUUAAAGAAAUUAUUAGAAAUAAUAAGAGAAGUUGGUAACUGGAGGCAAAUAAAUAUACAAAAUUCAAAAGCAUUUUUAUUAAGUAUAAAUAAUACCCAGUUAAAAAACAACAAAAGAAAAGAUUCCUUGUACAAUAUCAACAACAAAAAAAAAACAGGUAAAAUACUUUGGAAUAAAUUUAACAAGAACUGCAAAAAUGAUCUUACAGCUCAACUGAAAGUGAUGAAAGUCUUCAACAGAUGCAAUCUUGCUUCUAGAUAGAAAAUCUCAAUAUUUUACGCCAGGCGUGGUGGCUCACAUCUGUAAUCCUAGCACUUUGGGAGACCAAGGCGGGCGGAUCACCUGAGAUCAGGAAUUUAAGACCAGCCUGGCCAAUAUGGUAAAACCCCAUCUUUACUAAAAAAUACAAAAAUUAGCCAGGUGUAGUGGCACGUGCCUGUAAUCCCAGCUACUCAGGAGGCUGAGGCACAACCAUCACUUGAACCCGGGAGGUGGAGGUUGCAGUGAGCCAAGAUCACACCACUGUACCCCAGCCUGGACGACAGAACAGACUCUGUCAAGAAAGAAAAGAAAGAAAAGAAAGAAAAGAAAGAGAGAGAGAGAGAGAGAGAGAGAAAGAAAGAAAGAGGGAAAGAAAGAAAGAGGGAAAGAAAGAAAGAGGGAAAGAAAGAAAAUCUCAAUAUUUUAAAGACGUAGCAUCUCCUCAAAUUGAAAUCUAUAAAUUUAUGUAAUCCAAGUAAACAGUAACAGUAGUAAAAUAUCCACAUACAUAUGGUUAUAUAUAAUAAGGUUAAUUUAUAUAUAGGGUUAUAUAUAACAUUUUAUAUAUAUAUAACAUAUAUAAAUAUAUAUAUUUACCUGCAAAAGUGAAAUGCAAGAAUGGGUAAGGAGUGAAAGGAAUGAGAGAAGAAUAAUUUACACAGAUAUAAAGAUGUGUAACAAAGCUGUAACUGAAAGAAUUUGGUAUACAAUAACAAAAAACAGUCAGUUCAAUAGAAGAAAAGAGAGAACAGAAGUAGACUGAAACCCAUAUGGAAAUGCAGUAGCUUUUUUAAAGGUUGUAUGUCAAGUCAGAGAGGGAAAAGAUUAAUAAAUGAUCUUAGAACACCUGACAAACUGCCAUUCAAAAACAAAUAAACUUGGAUUCCCAGCUUGCUCUUCACACAGAGACAAAUUCCAAAUGAAUCAAAAUUGUAACAUAUAAAACACAAUCAUAAAAGCACCAGAAGAAAACAUAAAUUUAGGGUGGGAGAUGGCCUUAAUUUUUAAAGUCAAAUGUAUCAAUAUUUUCCCUCAUGCCUUGUGGAGUCCAUGAUUAAUUUGAGUUAAAGCAAAAGUUAGAAAUAUUGUAGAAUGAAAAAAGCAGUUACACCAUAAACAAAACCAAAAGGCAAAGGACGACUGAGGAAAUAACAAACAAGGGAGAAAAACUAAGUCUGUAGCUUUGGGAGGUAGCAACACAAAUCAGGAGGAAGGAACAAAUGGUCCAGCCAGAUAAGAAUUUUUCCAGAAAAGAACCAAUGAUCAAACAGGCA
rnacentral:lncRNA from 10 species